rnacentral:rRNA from 1 species
UACGAAGGGGGCUAGCGUUGCUCGGAAUCACUGGGCGUAAAGCGCACGUAGGCGGCUUCUUAAGUCAGGGGUGAAAUCCUGGAGCUCAACUCCAGAACUGCCUUUGAUACUGAGUAGCUUGAGUCCGGGAGAGGUGAGUGGAACUGCGAGUGUAGAGGUGAAAUUCGUAGAUAUUCGCAAGAACACCAGUGGCGAAGGCGGCUCACUGGCCCGGUACUGACGCUGAGGUGCGAAAGCGUGGGAAGCAAACAGG